rnacentral:rRNA from 1 species
UACGUAGGGUGCAAGCGUUAAUCGGAAUUACUGGGCGUAAAGCGUGCGCAGGCGGUCUCUCAAGUCAGGGGUGAAAGCCCAGAGCUCAACUCUGGAACUGCCCUUGAAACUGUGAGGCUCGAGUGCGGGAGAGGUGAGUGGAAUUCCCAGUGUAGAGGUGAAAUUCGUAGAUAUUGGGAAGAACACCGGUGGCGAAGGCGGCUCACUGGCCCGUUUCUGACGCUCAUGCACGAUAGCGUGGGGAUCAAACAGG